rnacentral:rRNA from 1 species
GGCCUAACACAUGCAAGUCGAGGGGUAUAUUUCUUCGGAGAUAGAGACCGGCGCACGGAUGCGUAACGCGUAUGCAAUCUGCCUUUUACAGAGGGAUAGCCCAGAGAAAUUUGGAUUAAUACCUCAUAGUAUUACAGGAUGGCAUCGUCCAGUAAUUAAAGUCACAACGGUGAAAGAUGAGCAUGCGUCCCAUUAGCUAGUUGGUAAGGUAACGGCUUACCAAGGCAACGAUGGGUAGGGGUCCUGAGAGGGAGAUCCCCCACACUGGUACUGAGACACGGACCAGACUCCUACGGGAGGCAGCAGUGAGGAAUAUUGGUCAAUGGGCGCAAGCCUGAACCAGCCAUGCCGCGUGCAGGAUGACGGUCCUAUGGAUUGUAAACUGCUUUUGUACGAGAAGAAACACUGAUUCGUGAAUCAGCUUGACGGUAUCGUAAGAAUAAGGAUCGG